AUUUUCAUAUAUUCUUGUAUUGUGUGUACGGUGAUAGUUAGAAAUGUUUCUUUCUACAAAUUUAUUUUGCCACUGUGUUGUCACUUGAUUAAUUCGCUAUUCUAGACAUUCUAGAUUUAUUUUGAACCGAAGAGUGUUGACCAUUUCCUGAGUGCCAACAUUCAGCUUAGAAAUGACAAGAGAAGCUCCGCAAGUAAUCUGAGGGAGCGGAUGAAAACAAAAGAACAAAACGUUACUGAACAAUUGGUAUUUUUUAUACCUGGUGAAUGCUACAGCUCCAUCUGAUUCUGCCAUUCCCGCCAUUGGCAAUAAUGAAAUUGAUGGUAUUGCAGUGUCUUCAAAUAAUCACUGACGUGCUCUCUACGCUUCAGUAUUUGGAGUAUUGUUUUUUUUAUUCCAUUUGUUUUUGAAGAAUGAUCUUAUCAUAGUAGAAUGGUCAUCUCAUGGUUGUGUGUAUGCUCUAAUUGUGGAAUGCAGUGAAUUCAGAAACAGAAGCAUAUGAGAAUGUGGAAACUGGCUUAUUGCAAGCAACGUGGAAAUGCCCCUAAAAUCACAAUGUCACCGGGCUGGACACGAUGAAAUAAUGACGAUGGAUCUGAGCCUUCUCCCUCCUGUAACUGCCGCUGGUACUGGAGGUGCUUUACGCUUUGCUUACCUUCGUUUCUCCAUAUAUAUUGCGGCUUGCCUUCCUUUGCUGCCUCUCCACUCCCCUUCUGUGAAAGCCAUGGGCACAGCCGCUGCCUCUGAUCCCGUCGGCAAGAUGCAAGGCAGCGAUUUCCUCUACUUGCCGUGGAUCUUCAAGGGUGACCGCAAAUUGAUAGAGAUGCUACGGGACCCCAACACGUCUGCGGCUGUUUGACGACUUGGUCGACCACCAGCGCCUCACUUCCUGUGGGCACCGAUCUUCGCCUCACCAUGAUGCUCGGCAACUACGACCAUGUCUCCUCCAAUCGUUUUGGUGGUUGAGAAAUGAACCAAUGCUGGUUAUGCAACAGAGGUGGCAGUCAGGUUUGACGUCAGAUACAAUGCUACACAUGUUGUUGUUUGCACGCGCACAUGUACACACACAUUCUUAUUUCAAUUUAUCAAAUGGCAUAUGUACUGUUUGUACAGAUCCGACAAAGGCUAAUGGAUUAUUUAAUUUUAGCUGCUUCAA